rnacentral:rRNA from 2 species
CGAGAAAACUUUGCAAUGUGCGAAAGCACGACAAGGUUAAUCCGAGUGGUUUCUGCUAAAAGGAACCUUUUGCCAGUCCUAGAAACACUGGUGAAUAAGGGGUGGGCAAAGUUCUGGUGUCAGCCGCCGCGGUAAAACCAGCACCUCAAGUGGUCAGGAUGAUUAUUGGGCCUAAAGCACCCGUAGCCUGCUUUGUUAGUUUUCGGUUAAAUCCACAUGCUCAACAUUUGGGCUGCCGGAAAAACUGCAGAUCUAGGGAGUGGGAGAGGUAGACGGUACUCGGUAGGAAGGGGUAAAAUCCUUUGAUCUAUUGAUGACCACCUGUGGCGAAGGCGGUCUACCAGAACACGUUCGACGGUGAGGGAUGAAAGCUGGGGGA